rnacentral:rRNA from 1 species
UACGUAGGGGGCAAGCGUUGUCCGGAAUCAUUGGGCGUAAAGAGCGUGUAGGCGGCCUGAUAAGUCGGCUGUGAAAGUCAAGGGCUCAACCCUUGAAUGCCGGCCGAUACUGUCAGGCUAGAGUCCGGAAGAGGCGAGUGGGAAUUCCUGGUGUAGCGGUGAAAUGCGCAGAUAUCAGGAGGAACACCUGUGGCGAAGGCGGCCCCCUGGUUGGAUACUGACGCUGAGACGCGAAAGCGUGGGGAGCAAACAGG